rnacentral:rRNA from 1 species
CGUCGCAUGCUCCCGGCCCGCCAUGCGGCCCGCGGGAAUUUCGAUUAGAGUUUGAUCAUGGCUCAGGAUGAACGCUAGCGGCAGGCUUAACACAUGCAAGUCGAGGGGUAACAGGGAGUGCUUGCACUCUGCUGACGACCGGCGCACGGGUGCGUAACGCGUAUGCAACCUACCUUCUACAGGGGGAUAGUCCAGAGAAAUUUGGCAUAAUACCCCAUACGAUCAUUUAUUGGCAUCGAUAGAUGAGGAAAACUCCGGUGGUAGAAGAUGGGCAUGCGUCCUAUUAGUUAGUUGGUAAGGUAACGGCUUACCAAGACAUCGAUAGGUAGGGGUCCUGAGAGGGAGAUCCCCCACACUGGUACUGAGACACGGACCAGACUCCUACGGGAGGCAGCAGUGAGGAAUAUUGGACAAUGGAGGCAACUCUGAUCCAGCCAUGCCGCGUGCAGGAAGACGGCCCUACGGGUUGUAAACUGCUUUUAUACAGGAAGAAACGCCGCUACGUGUAGCGGUUUGACGGUACUGUACGAAUAAGGAUCGGCUAACUCCGUGCCAGCAGCCGCGGUAAUACGGAGGAUCCAAGCGUUAUCCGGAAUCAUUGGGUUUAAAGGGUCCGUAGGCGGUUUUUUAAGUCAGAGGUGAAAUCCUGCAGCUCAACUGUAGCAUUGCCUUUGAUACUGAAAGACUUGAGUUAUUGUGAAGUAGUUAGAAUGUGUAGUGUAGCGGUGAAAUGCAUAGAUAUUACACAGAAUACCGAUCGCGAAGGCAGAUUACUAACAACAUACUGACGCUGAGGGACGAAAGCGUGGGUAGCGAACAGGAUUAGAUACCCUGGUAGUCCACGCCGUAAACGAUGGAUACUAGCUGUUCGACCAACAUUGGUUGGUUGAGUGGCUAAGCGAAAGUGAUA